AGGGCGGCUUGUCGCUCGUCGCCCGCUUGCGGGUAGCGAGAGGAAAGUCCGGGCAACACAGAGCAUCACAUUUCUUAACGGGAAGCUGUGGGUGACUGCAGAGUUGAAGGUGACAGAAAACGACCGCCGCGUGCUCCCGUGCGGAGCUGCGCGGUAAGGGUGAAAAGGCGGGGUAAGAGCCCACCGGGCGCGAUGGCGACACCGCGUGCCGCACCACUUGUGAGUUGCAAGGUCAAGUAUACCGGCAUCGAAGGGCUGCUCGUCCAUUGCCGGGGGGUAGACUGCUAUACCGGCGCAGCAAUGUGCCGGACAGAUAAAUGACAAGCGGCCGUCCGCGUGCGGUUACAUAACCCGGCUUAUAGCCCUACUG
rnacentral:RNase_P_RNA from 1 species